UCACUUACCUGGACGGGGUCAAUGGGUGAUCAAGAUGGUCCAUGGCCUAGGUUGGUGACCUCCAUUGCACUCAGGAGGGGUGCCCGCCUAAGGUCGGCCCAAGUGGUCGAGCCUACGUCAUAAUUUGUGGCAGUGGAGGCCUGCGUUCGCGCGGCCUCUGC
rnacentral:snRNA from 1 species